rnacentral:rRNA from 1 species
GAUGAACGCUGGCGGCGUGCCUAAUACAUGCAAGUCGAGCGAACGGACGAGAAGCUUGCUUCUCUGAUGUUAGCGGCGGACGGGUGAGUAACACGUGGAUAACCUACCUAUAAGACUGGGAUAACUUCGGGAAACCGGAGCUAAUACCGGAUAAUAUUUUGAACCGCAUGGUUCAAAAGUGAAAGACGGUCUUGCUGUCACUUAUAGAUGGAUCCGCGCUGCAUUAGCUAGUUGGUAAGGUAACGGCUUACCAAGGCAACGAUGCAUAGCCGACCUGAGAGGGUGAUCGCCCACACUGGAACUGAGACACGGUCCAGACUCCUACGGGAGGCAGCAGUAGGGAAUCUUCCGCAAUAGGCGAAAGCCUGACGGAGCAACGCCGCGUGAGUGAUGAAGGUCUUCGGAUCGUAAAACUCUGUUAUUAGGGAAGAACAUAUGUGUAAGUAACUGUGCACAUCUUGACGGUACCUAAUCAGAAAGCCACGGCUAACUACGUG